rnacentral:snRNA from 1 species
GGAAGGCAAUCUGACUGGGACAUCUGGCAGUCCCUCGAUCACCAGGGUUAAUGUGGCUGAUCUGGCUGACAAGGCAGGUGUCCCUUCCCCCUGAAGCACUCUGUGUCUCCCUCCCCAAGCUGUGUGCUGGUGAAAGAGGACAGCCUUCCCCAGCAGAGGACUGUCCUUUAGUUGACAGUUUCUGCAUAGCUGUGGUCCCUGGCUAGAAGCUCUAAACAUGCUCUCAAGUAGCAUGACUGAAGAGAGUAAAGGAAGGAGGAGAAAAAGGAAUGGGGAAAGAUGUUUCAGGAACUCCAGAUAGACUCAAACUCUGGUGUAGGCAAUGUUCCCAGAA